UGGGUCCCGCAGAGGCCCGGUUGUUGCCUCCAAUAACAAGAAGGGAAAGCGAGAGGGUACAGCAAAACAGAAAAAGACAAGUAUUUUGUGAAGUUUUAAAUGCAGUUAUUCGCCCGCUUGACGUCCGCCAAAAAGCCACGGAGAAGACACGAAGAGCUCGAAGCUUUUGGUGGUGGGGUGGGGUGGAUGGUGGCUCCGAUCCAUCGUGCGACCUCGUCAUCGCCCUCGCGGAAGCCGCUUUUUCUCACGCCGUGAUCGGAGAAUCCAAAUCGUGCAGCAGGGACACAAUGUUGGACACAAAUGCAGGCCACAUGUUCCUGCAAAGUAUCUAGUCAGGCUGAAAUAUCAAAAUGAUGUACGCAACCAGAGGUAGACUAUUCUUCAUGGAGCCUUUUUAUGAUCACGAGCACUGUUAUGGGCAAUAUGUAAAUUCAUUAAUAUUACUUAUUGUGCACCAUUUUAGUACUCCAGCCUGGUUCUCUAGUAUCUGAAACUUGCCUUGCCAAAUAUGUUACUGAUAUAUCACAAUGGUAGCAUUUUGCACCGAUGGAUUUUUUUUCUCC